GCAGGGAUCCCUGAAGGUGUUUGUCUGUUGCUGGGAGCGCUGCUUCCCAGCUUCGUUUCGCGUGUGUGCAUUUUCCAGCAACUGUCAGCCAAUAAGUCAUUUUCCCCACAGCAGACCUCGUGGGAUACUUUUACUUUCUGUCAUCUGGCCUGCCCGUGUUUUGACUGCACACAGAGAUGAAAAGACUAGCACUCUGUGGCUUGCUGUGAAAAAACCCUCAUGAAAAUGGUGUCUCCACCUGUGGGCCCGCGACGGAAGCCCUGGAAAUGCUAAGCAAAUCGGGCAUGAAAGAGAUACAGCCAGUCCUUUCGGCGGUCUGAGUCCGGGUGGAAACAGACACCUCCGAAGGUUCCCUCCAGCUCGGAGGGUGUGAAGCCGCGUUUUCUGCCUCACAGCGGGGCAACACGAAGCAGUAGAGGCUAGCUUUGGCUCCAGCCCAGGGAGGGAGGACUCAUCUGGGCGGUUUCCUGAGACGCUUGGAAAGGGCCCCUCCCUCUUAGUUGGCACCGACUGACGACUGAACCAAAGUGCCCCCUUCAGGGUGAAUGUGGAGCAGCAGUCUGCAGAGGAGCGGAAAAUUGAUUAAGGGCUGCACUACAAUGCCUGACCAGAAGACCAGAAGAGCCGGGACGGGCUUAAUUAUGGGCUGGAGGACGGAACAGGGCUUGUCUCUGGCAGUGAGCAGUCCGCUGGCUUCUUGCCCCCUACUGCCCCCUCACUUGCCCAGCAACAACUGUUCAAACUGCCCUGACUUACUUCCUAAGUCUCGCCCUCUUUCAAACUGGGGGACCAGGGUAUGGGCAGGGCAGCAAAAAUUAGACCAGUGGAAACGCCGGCUAUGCAGAGAGAACAGCCUGAAAAAUAGGUUAAGUGAUGCCAGACAGAGGAACUAGGUUUCUUGGGGGGAAACAAAUCUGAUGUAGACCUUAUCCACUUCGACCUCACUGAGUAGGGACGUGGGGUGAUGGAAGGUAACAUGCUGCAGACUGUCUGGGGGAGUCAUUCGAAGGGCAAUAUUCGGAGAAAGAGGGGUAGGUCCAAAGUAAUGUGGAUCAGCUGCCUCGGGUUUCUGAGACCAAAUCUUUACAGGAGUAGAAAGUCUCAUCUUUUCCCAUAGAUCAUCUGGUGGGUUCAAACUGAUGACCACAUAGUCACCCAACACAACCCACUACACCAUCAGGAUUUCUACUGGAGGUCAGAGGUAAUUUUAAAAGAAAGAGCCAUGCAUUGUCUACAUGUAAUUAAAAUUGUCCCCCAAAUCA